rnacentral:rRNA from 1 species
GUGAGGAAUAUUGCACAAUGGGCGAAAGCCUGAUGCAGCAACGCCGCGUGAGUGAUGAAGGCCUUUGGGUCGUAAAACUCUGUCCUUGGGGAAGAAAAAAAUGACGGUACCCUUGGAGGAAGCCCCGGCUAACUACGUGCCAGCAGCCGCGGUAAUACGUAGGGGGCAAGCGUUAUCCGGAAUUAUUGGGCGUAAAGAGUGCGUAGGUGGUUUUGUAAGCGUAGGGUGAAAGGCAGUAGCUCAACUAGUGUUAGCCCUGCGAACUGUGAGACUUGAGUGCAGGAGAGGAAAGUGGAAUUCCUAGUGUAGCGGUGAAAUGCGUAGAUAUUAGGAGGAACACCAGUGGCGAAGGCGACUUUCUGGACUGUAACUGACACUGAGGCACGAAAGCGUGGGUAGCAAACAGGAUUAGAAACCCCAGUAGUCA